CCAAAUUUGCUCCUUACAACAGAAUCCCGACCAGAACUUAUCAACUACUUGUGCGAUGAAACUUUUGAUUCUGCUUGUGUGUCUGGCAGUCUGUACGACAACUCUGUCUGCCAGGACCACGGCUAGAUCUCUGAACGAAGAAGAUGAAUUGCGCAAUGGAGGAGAUGACUGGAUCGAUGACAUCAUUGAAAACUAUACAAAGUUAGGAGAAGCUGAUGUUGAUCGAAAUGUGCGCAAAAUUAUGUAGCUAGUUGAGAACUA